rnacentral:tRNA from 1 species
CUGGGUGUAGCGCAGUUGGAAGCGCACGUGGCCUGGGCCCACGGGGUCAUCGGUUCGAGUCCGAUCACUCAGACCA